UGAGGAAUAUUGGUCAAUGGACGAGAGUCUGAACCAGCCAAGUAGCGUGAAGGAUGACUGCCCUAUGGGUUGUAAACUUCUUUUAUACGGGAAUAAAGUGAGGCACGUGUGCCUUUUUGUAUGUACCGUAUGAAUAAGGAUCGGCUAACUCCGUGCCAGCAGCCGCGGUAAUACGGAGGAUCCGAGCGUUAUCCGGAUUUAUUGGGUUUAAAGGGAGCGUAGGUGGAUUGUUAAGUCAGUUGUGAAAGUUUGCGGCUCAACCGUAAAAUUGCAGUUGAAACUGGCAGUCUUGAGUACAGUAGAGGUGGGCGGAAUUCGUGGUGUAGCGGUGAAAUGCUUAGAUAUCACGAAGAACUCCGAUUGCGAAGGCAGCCUGCUGGACUGUAACUGACGCUGAUGCUCGAAAGUGUGGGUAUCAAACAGGAUUAGAUACC
rnacentral:rRNA from 1 species